rnacentral:rRNA from 1 species
GUGCACCAGGCGAGAAACCUCCGCAAUGCUCGAAAGAGCGACGGGGGGACUCCAAGUGCCUACGCUCAGCGUAGGCUGUUCCCGAGCCUAAAAAGCUCGGGGAGUAAGGGCUGGGUAAGACGGGUGCCAGCCGCCGCGGUAAUACCCGCAGCCCGAGUGGUGGCCGCUAUUAUUGGGCCUAAAGCGUCCGUAGCCGGCUCGGUAAAUGCCUGGGUAAAUCGUCUGGCCCAACCAGACGAAUUCCGGGUAGACUGCCGGGCUAGGGACCGGAGGAGGGAGAGGGUACUCCAGGGGUAGGGGUGAAAUCAGCAAGGUGAGUUGCUGAUGUAACUUGCCUUGCAAGUCACAAUCCUGUAAUCCCCUGGAGGACCACCGGUGGCGAAGGCGCUCUCCGUAGGACGGUCGACGGUGAGGGACGAAAGCCAGGGGAGCAAACCGGAUUAGAUACCCCGGUA